rnacentral:rRNA from 1 species
UACGUAGGUGACCAGCGUUGUCCGGAUUUACUGGGCGUAAAGAGCGCGCAGGCGGUCGUUCAAGUCGAGUGUGAAAGCCCCCGGCUCAACUGGGGAGGGUCAUUCGAUACUGAUCGACUGGAAGGCAGGAGAGGGAAGCGGAAUUCCCGGUGUAGUGGUGAAAUGCGUAGAUAUCGGGAGGAACACCUAUGGCGAAGGCGAGCAUC